GCCUGGAGAAGGUGUGGAUGGGAAGGAUCAUUGCCGGGCACAGCCUGGAGAAGGUGUGGAUGGGAAGGAUCAUUGCCGGGCACAGCCUGGAGAAGGUGUGGAUGGGAAGGAUCAUUGCCGGGCACAGCCUGGAGAAGGUGUGGAUGGGAAGGAUCAUUGCCGGGCACAGCCUGGAGAAGGUGUGGAUGGGAAGGAUCAUUGCCGGGCACAGCCUGGAGAAGGUGUGGAUGGAUGGGAAGGAUCAUUGCCGGGCACAGCCUGGAGAAGGUGUGGAUGGAUGUGAAGGAUCAUUGCCGGGCACAGCCUGGAGAAGGUGUGGAUGGGAAGGAUCAUUGCCGGGCACAGCCUGGAGAAGGUGUG